UUGGCCCUGAAUCAAGGCCAGAAGUUUGCCAAAGCUAUUGGUUUCAAGGAGCCUAAAGAACUAUCUUUCAAUAGACUGGUAACAAUUUCAGAAUUUUGAAAAUAUAAUGGCUAGUUUACUAGAAAGAAACUUCC